rnacentral:lncRNA from 1 species
GGAGGUUUUGUGGACCAGCCUAAGAGAAGGGGCACAGAAUCAGAUAUACCUUACCUCGAUCGAAGAGCCGUGUGAAGGGUGUCUCUGGAGGUAAAGAUUUGAGUGCACUUCACGUGGACCACCGCGUGAGAGUGAGACUCAGCCAACGCCAAGGCAUGGCUAGAAUUUCGGAUGUAAAGACAUUUAACCGCCUUAGUGGUCUCGGUCAGAUGCCUAGGCCAAGGCAUCCCCGGGAAUGAUUUUGGCAGGAGCCAAGUUUUGUGAGAUAUAUAAGCCAUGUUGAUUAAUUGAGUAAACUGAAUAUUCAUGUUAUGAAACAUAUAUCGGAAAAGAAUAUUUUAAUUCAUCUCUAUUUACUCGCCUUUAGAUAGUUUAGAUGGUGUCUGUUUACUCACUAGGAUUUUAUAAUCUCACCAUCCUCAUUUUCUCACAUUUCAGGCUCGGGGAAUUCCAUAGUUAGCUGACUUUGACAAGGACCUUCAUUUGGACUUGAAUCGGCAAAAGUUGUAGGUUUUCAGCUUCUGAUGCAUUUUGGUUAGAUGUGGGCCCACGUGUCAUUGUAAAAGUAAUUUUAUGCUUUGAUUAUUUACUUUAUAGAAUAUAUGAAUAUAAUUAACUUUUACGCUAUAAGAAUUAUUUACCAAUAGCUUUAUAAAAAUUAUUUUACAAGAAAAUAGUUUAUUUUAUUGAAUAUUUUUAUUAUAUUCAAAUGGUC